UACGUAGGGGGCAAGCGUUGUCCGGAAUCAUUGGGCGUAAAGAGCGUGUAGGCGGCCUGGUAAGUCCGCUGUGAAAGUCCAGGGCUCAACCCUGGAAUGCCGGUGGAAACUGUCAGGCUCGAGUCCGGAAGAGGCGAGUGGAAUUCCUGGUGUAGCGGUGAAAUGCGCAGAUAUCAGGAGGAACACCAAUGGCGAAGGCAGCUCCGCUGGGACGGUACUGACGCUGAGACGCGAAAGCGUGGGAGCAAACAGG
rnacentral:rRNA from 1 species